GACGAACGCUGGCGGCGUGCUUAACACAUGCAAGUCGAGCGGAGCGGCGAACGGGUGAGUAACGCGUGAGUAACUGCCCCCCUCUCUGGGAUAACAGUUGGAAACGGCUGCUUAUACCGGAUAGUGGGGGAUGACUCGUGUCCUAUCAGCUUGUUGGGGGGGUAGUGGCUUACCAUGGCGCCGACGGGUAGCCGGCCUGAGAGGGCGAACGGCCACAUUGGGCUGAGGUACGGACCAGACUCCUACGGGGGGCAGCAGUGGGGAAUAUUGCGCAAUGGGGGAAACCCUGAUGCAGCAACGCCGCGUGCGGGAUGACGGCCUUCGGGUUGUAAACCGCUUUCAGCCAUGACGCGGUAGUGGCAGAAGAAGCACCGGCUAACUACGUGCCAGCAGCCGCGGUAAUUC
rnacentral:rRNA from 1 species